rnacentral:rRNA from 1 species
UACGUAGGGUGCAAGCGUUGUCCGGAAUUAUUGGGCGUAAAGAGCUCGUAGGCGGUUUGUCGCGUCUGCUGUGAAAACUCGGAGCUCAACUCCGAGCCUGCGUUCGAUACUGGACGGCUAGAGUCUGGUAGGGGGAUCUGGAAUUCCUGGUGUAGCGGUGGAAUGCGCAGAUAUCAGGAGGAACACCGGUGGCGAAGGCGGGAUCCUGGGCCAGUACUGACGCUGAGGAGCGAAAGCGUGGGGAGCGAACAGG